rnacentral:rRNA from 1 species
UACUCCCCAGGCGGGGUACUUAUUGCGUUAACUCCGGCACAGAAGGGGUCGAUACCUCCUACACCUAGUACCCAUCGUUUACGGCCAGGAUUACCGGGGUAUCUAAUCCCGUUCACUCCCCUGGCUUUCGCGCCUCAGCGUCAGACACAGUCCAGAAAGUCGCCUUCGCCACUGGUGUUCCUCCUAAUAUCUACGCAUUUCACCGCUACACUAGGAAUUCCACUUUCCUCUCCUGCACUCAAGAAAUGUAGUUUCCAUCCCAUCACGGGGUUGAGCCCCGAACUUUUAAGACAGACUUACAUUCCCGCCUGCGCGCGCUUUACGCCCAAUAAUUCCGGACAACGCUUGCCACCUACGUAUUACCGCGGCUGCUGGCACGUAGUUAGCCGUGGCUUCCUCCUCAGGUACCGUCAUUACUUAACAUUAUUCACAUUAAGCACAUUCGUCCCUGAAGACAGAGCUUUACGAUCCGAAAACCUUCUUCACUCACGCGGCGUUGCUCCGUCAGACUUUCGUCC